CGUAUGCUGCUGCCUCUGCAAUUGAUGGUAUGUGCUUUCUUUUGCUUGGUAUAAUUUUGGUGUGUGUGUUUUCUGGCGCUAGAUCAUGGGUUCGGCGACGGCGGCCGGAAGCCAGGAGGGCUGGCCAAGGAAGAGGGUGAGGACGUGGGGAUUGAAGAGGGUUCCUAUGCAUAUUGUUCAUUGCAAUGGUAAAGCAUCGUCAGCACUGUAUUGAUGCCAUCGUCAAGUCAUGUAGACUAAUUGCAGAACAAAGCUAUAGUUUUGUUGGGACUAAAAGUGAAAACGAUAAUUGGGACCAAAACUAUGCAUUUCUAGGAAAUAAUAAAUAAGCAAAAGGAUUAUCCACGGGAUGGAGCAGAGGCCGGCGUGGGGCGCAAGGAGCAGCAGUGGCAGAAUGGUGCUCGCUUGCCGGGCGUUGGCCCUCGGAUGAAUUCGACGCCUGAGUCGAGCUGACGAGCCCCAUGGUUUGCUAUCAAUCUCUCGAAAAGGAAAAACAACAUUACUUUGUUCUUGGGAGAAACUUCCUGUAGAGUCGCUACCUUGACAGAGAUAAAUAUGCGAUCAAGGAUAUAUUCAGUGGUUUUUCAGGAAAAAACUUGGAGGAUAUUUUUUGCAGGUUCAUCGCUUGCUUUUUUGCUUUAUCAUGGCGUAUUCGUCCCUUCUUAUCCAAGAAAGGGCUUCUUCAUGUUUGCAGAUAGUUUGGUGCUCUCAUGGUUAUUUUGUCGAGAUUGUCCUUCUGUUCAUUAUUUGGGAACCAUCUCCUGCAGCUCAGCUACUGUCCAGCUGCUGCGCCCUUAUCGUGAUUGAUUAAUGGUGUAUGUUUUCCUAUUAGUUUCUCUGUAUGCUAAUGUCUGAAUUAUAUCUUGACGUUUUACAUUUCUCCAGGCCUUGGAUUCCCUGAGAUGCGCUAUUCGUAGGCAUGCACUUUCUAAUAAAAUUAUGGCAAUCAAUUUGAACAAGUAAUUUAUCUAGCUACAACAACGUAUUGUUUAUGUUCCUUGCUUUCACAAAUAGUAGUUUAUAGUCUAUAUCUGCCAAAUAUUUACACAUUAGUUUAGCCACAAAGUAAGAUGCCAUACUUUAGUGAUGGGUUUGUUAUUCUGCUAUCGUUUCAUGUUGGUUAGCCAUGAUAAAUCUAAUUUCUAGAGUGGUAGAUGAUUCAUGUCAGGUUUCUUUUAGAGAUCGAAAUAUGGUUUGACUCUGAAAUAAGUAGUACGACGUCCAGUUCGGCAUAGGUAGUAGAAAGCAUACUAAUCCCAUUUACAUACUAUGCAAAACUGAAUGACCUUCUAAAGCUCUGAAACUACUAUUUGUUGUGUAAUAUGUAUCCCCUUUUCAUACUUUGUUUCUACUUAGUAGGCAAAAGUACAUGAGAACGAUGGCCUACAGGAUGUGAAUUGCACUAAAAUAUAUGCAGGUUUUGUGCCAGACUAACUGUCACUACUGUGUUUCAGGUGCUUCUUCUGUAACUUCGUAUAUUUUGCUGGCUCUUCUCAUUUCCCUGCAAACCACUUAGUCUGUACAGUUUGUUGUCUUCUACUCCCUCCGUAAAGAAAUAUAAGAGCGUUCAGAUCACUACUUUAGUGAUCUAAGCUCUCUUAUAUUUCUUUACAGAGGGAGUACUGUCUUUAGAGGUUUUGUCCAAACUACUAGCUGUCUGACUUGCCUUUUGAAACAAAGUGUUCCUAGGAUUGCCUUUUUACAUAUGGUUAAGCUCAAUAUGGCUACCUAUGUACACAUAUGAAGGUUCUGUUUGGACUACUCAAAUCGUGUGGAGAAAUUUCCAAUUUGUUGCCUUGCUAUGGUGUGCCGUCGCCAUGUUUUUUUAGGAAAAUGGAACGUGCAAGCUUCGUCCUUAAUUAGUCAAAUACUUGCUUUGCGUUAAAGACAGUCCCCAUCUAUGUCCCGGGUUUUCUUUUGUAUGAAUUUCAUAUUCACUGGAAUAUGAGAAUACACUGUCAUGAUGGACAA